rnacentral:rRNA from 1 species
CAGGACGAACGCUGGCGGCGUGCCUAACACAUGCAAGUCGAGCGAGGAGAUCCUUCGGGAUGAUCCUAGCGGCGGACGGGUGAGUAACACGUGGGCAACCUGCCUCAUAGAGAGGAAUAGCCUUCCGAAAGGGAGAUUAAUGCCUCAUAACAUUGCAGUUUCGCAUGAAACAGCAAUUAAAGGAGCAAUCCGCUAUGAGAUGGGCCCGCGGCGCAUUAGCUAGUUGGUGAGGUAACGGCUCACCAAGGCGACGAUGCGUAGCCGACCUGAGAGGGUGAUCGGCCACAUUGGGACUGAGACACGGCCCAGACUCCUACGGGAGGCAGCAGUGGGGAAUAUUGCACAAUGGGGGAAACCCUGAUGCCAGCAACGCCGCGUGAGUGAUGACGGCCUUCGGGUUGUAAAGCUCUGUCUUCAGGGACGAUAAUGACGGUACCUGAGGAGGAAGCCACGGCUAACUACGUGCCAGCCGCCGC